GAUGAACACUGGCGGCGUGCCUAACACAUGCAAGUCGAGCGAUUCUCUUCGGAGAAGAGCGGCGGACGGGUGAGUAACGCGUGGGUAACCUGCCCUGUACACACGGAUAACAUACCGAAAGGUAUGCUAAUACGAGAUAAUAUACUUUUAUCGCAUGGUAGAAGUAUCAAAGCUCCGGCGGUACAGGAUGGACCCGCGUCUGAUUAGCUAGUUGGUAAGGUAACGGCUUACCAAGGCGACGAUAAAUAGCCGACCUGAGAGGGUGAUCGGCCACAUUGGAACUGAGACACGGUCCAAACUCCUACGGGAGGCAGCAGUGGGGAAUAUUGCACAAUGGGCGAAAGCCUGAUGCAGCAACGCCGCGUGAGCGAUGAAGGCCUUCGGGUCGUAAAGCUCUGUCCUCAAGGAAGAUAAUGACGGUACUUGAGGAGGAAGCCCCGGCUAACUACGUGCCAGCAGCCGCCGUAACAC
rnacentral:rRNA from 1 species